rnacentral:rRNA from 1 species
AUUUUGGACAAUGGGGGAAACCCUGAUCCAGCCAUCCCGCGUGUAUGAUGAAGGCCUUCGGGUUGUAAAGUACUUUUUGCAGAGAAGAAAAGGUAUCUCCUAAUACGAGAUACUGCUGACGGUAUCUGCAGAAUAAGCACCGGCUAACCACGUGCCAGCAGCCGCGGCAAUACGUAGGGUGCAAGCGUCAAUCGGAAUUACUAGGCGAAAGGAGUGUGUAGGCGGUUCGGAAAGGAAGAUGGGAAUACCCAGGGGUCAGCCUUGGAACUGCAUUUUUAACUGCCGGGCUAGAGUAUGUCAGAGGGGGGUAGGAUUCCACGUGGAGCAGUGAAAUGCGUAGAUAUGUGGAGGAAGACCGAUGGCGAAGGCAGGCCCCUGGGAUAAUACUGACGCUCAGACACGAAAGCGUGGGGAGGAAACA